rnacentral:rRNA from 1 species
CUCUUACACAGGUGCUGCAUGGCUGUCGUCAGCUCGAGUUGUGAAAUUUAGGGUUAAGUCCCGCAACGAGCGCAACCCUUAUCCUUUUUUUCCAGCGGUUCGGUCGGGAUCUCAAACGAGACUGCCACUGAUAAACUGGAGGAAGGUGGGGAUGACGGCAAGUCAUCAUGCCCCUUCCGAGUAGGGCUACCCCCGUGCUACAAUGGCCAGUACAAAGAGAAGCGACCUCGCGAGAGCAAGCGGACCUCAUAAAGUGCGUCGUAGUCCCGAGUGGAGUCUGCAACUCGACUCCAUGAAGUCGGAAUCGCUAGUAAUCGUAGAUCAGAAUGCUCCGGUGAAUACGUUCCCGGGCCUUGUACACACCCACCGUCCCACCAUGGGAGUGGGUGCAAAAG